AGUCACAGCGGGGCCGGCCU
rnacentral:misc_RNA from 1 species